ACUCCUACGGGAGGCAGCAGUGGGGAAUAUUGGACAAUGGGCGAAAGCCUGAUCCAGCAAUGCCGCGUGAGUGAUGAAGGCCUUAGGGUUGUAAAGCUCUUUUACCAGGGAUGAUAAUGACAGUACCUGGAGAAUAAGCUCCGGCUAACUCCGUGCCAGCAGCCGCGGUAAUACGGAGGGAGCUAGCGUUGUUCGGAAUUACUGGGCGUAAAGCGCGCGUAGGCGGUCUAUUAAGUCAGAGGUGAAAUCCCGGGGCUCAA
rnacentral:rRNA from 1 species